ensembl:lncRNA
CUGCAUUUGAGCUGGGGAUGGACAGAGGGAGGCAGAGGACAUUGGAGGCACUGGGAGGAAAUGGGAGCAACUGGGAGGAAAUGGGAGGAGCUGGGAGGCACUGGGAGCAACUGGGAGGGACUGGGAAGAGGUGGCAGGAACUGGGAUGCACUGGUAGACACUGGGAGAAAUUGGGAGAAUCUGGGAGAAGCUGGGAGGAACUGGGAAACACUGGGAGAAAUUGGGAGGAUCUCGGAGACACUGGGAGGAACUGGGAGGUGCUAGGAGGCACUAGGAGAAACUGGGAGGAACUGGGAGGCACUGGGAGCAACUGGGAAGAGCCGUGAGAAACUGGGAGGAAAUGGGAGGCGCUGGGAGCAACUGGGAGGCACUGGGAGAAACUGGGAAGAACUGUGAGACACGCGCUGGGAGCAACUGGGAGGCACUGGGAGAAACUGGGAAGAACUGUGAGGCACGGGGGGACACUGGGACAAACUGGGAGCAACUGGGAGGCACUGAGAGGAAAUGGGAGGCACUGGGAUGGACUGAGAGGCACUGGGAGGAGCUGGGAGACACUGGGAGGAGCUAGGAUGAACUGGGAGAAACUGGGAGGGUAAUGGGAGGUGCUGGGACAGACUGUGAGCAACUGGGAAGAGCUGGGAGGAACUGGGAAGAGCUGGGAGCAACUGGGGGAAACUGGGAGAAACUGGGAGGAAAUGGGUGGUGCUAGGAGGCACUAGGAGGAACUGGGAGCAACUGAGAGGAGAUGGGAGGCACUGGGAGGAACUGGGAGGGACUGGGAGAAGCUGGGAGGAGCUAGGAGUAGUUGGGAGGAACUGGGAGGAAAUGGGAGGAUGGACUGGGAGGUGAUGGGAGGGACUGGGAGGCGCCGGGAGAAACUGGGGGGGACUGGGAGGGACUGGGAGGAAUUGGGGGCGAGGGAACAAGAGGGGUUUGGUGGCUCCGUGGCCGUGGGCGAGGACAGGGGGGUCCCACUGGUGUCACUGGUGUGCGGGGUGUCCCCGGGGUGUCCCCCGGGGUCCCACUGGUGUCACUGGUGUGCGGGGUGUCCCCGGGGUGUCCCCCGGGGUCCCACAGGUGUGGCAGGUAUUUGGGGUGUCCCUGGUGUCAUUGGGGGUCCCACAGGUGCCCCAGGAAUGUGGGGUGUCCCUGGCGUCCCUGGGGUGUCCCUGGGUGUCCCGGGGUGUCCCAAGAUGUCCCAGGGUGUCCUGGGGUGUCCCAGGAUGUCCCGAGGUGUCCCCGGGGUGUCCUGGGGUGUCCCGGGAUUGUUUCAGGGGUGUCCCGGAGUGUCCCGAGGUGUCCCAGGGUGUCCCAAGAUGUCUCGGGGUGUCCUGGGGUGUCCCAGGAUGUCCUGGGUGCGUCCCAGGAUGUCCCGAGGUGUCCCGGGGGUGUCCUGGGGUGUCCCGGGAUUGUUCAGGGCUGUCCCAGGGUGUCCCAAGAUGUCCUGGGGAUAUCCUGGAGUGUCCCGGCAUGUCCUGGGUGUGUCCCAGGAUGUCCCAAGGUGUCCUGGGGGUGUCCUGGGGGUGUUUUGGGGUGUUGGGGCGCCCCCCCCCCCCCCCCCCCCCCCCCCCCCCCCCCCCCCCCCCCCCCCCCCCCCCCCCCCCCCCCCCCCCCCCCCCCCCCCCCCCCCCCCCCCCCCCCCCCCCCCCCCCCCCCCCCCCCCCCCCCCCCCCCCCCCCCCCCCCCCCCCCCGCCGCUGCUGGCAGCUGAGCCCUCACCUUUCCCAGGGAUUCGCUGUCAGGGUGAACAGACCCCAGCAUGAGCUGCCAGGGGUGGAAAAAGCCGUAAAAACCGGGGAAAACCCCGAAGUGGGGUUUCCUAAAGGGACCUGGGGACACACCCAGAGCUGGGGACAGCCGCCACCACCAGGACUGGCACUGCCACCCUGGGAAUGUCCCAGAGCAUCCCGGGGAGCUGAUCGCGGGAUGGACCCAGAGCUCACCCCCCGGAGCCCCCACACCCCCCGAAGGCAACCCCAGGUUCGGGAUCUCCAUCCCGGGGGGAGGGGACACCACCCUCCGCAGCCAGGGGACCUGGGGAGGGUGUCCCAGAGUCCCCUGUCCCCGGGUCCAGCCUUGGCCAGCUGCCCUCACAUGCCAGCAAUGCCCACGGGGACCUCCUGCCAUCCUGCCAGGACCUGGCACACCUCGGGAUGGGGAGCAGGAAACGGAGCAACGGGAAAAACGGGAGGAGCUGAGCUGUGCCCCGGCUGGCAGGUCUGGGACACGGGUGACACCACUUUGGGAUUGUCCCCUGGCUGCGGGAAGGUUUGGGACACGGGAGACACCACCUUGGGAUUGUCCCCUAGCUGCGGGAAGGUUUGGGACAUGAGUGACACCACCCUGGGAUUGUCCCCUGGCUGCUGGCAAGUUUGGGACACGGGUGACACCACCCUGGCAUUGUCCCCUGGCUGCGGGAAGGUUUGGGACAUGAGUGACACCACUUUGGGAAUGUCCCCUGGCUGCGGGAAGGUCUGGGACAUGAGUGACAUCACCUUGGGAAUGUCCCCUGGCUGCUGGCAGGUUUGGGACACGGGUGACACCACCCUGGCAUUGUCCCCUGGCUGCGGGAAGGUUUGGGACACGGGAGACACCACCUUGGGAUUGUCCCCUAGCUGCGGGAAGGUUUGGGACAUGAGUGACACCACCCUGGUGGCUGCUGGCAGGUCUGGGACACGGGUGAUACCACUUUGGGAUUGUCCCCUGGCUGCGGGAAGGUUUGGGACACGGGUGACACCACCCUGGGAUUGUCCCCUGGUUUGUCUCCCGGCUGGCUGA